ACGGGUGAGUAAUGUCUGGGAAACUGCCUGAUGGAGGGGGAUAACUACUGGAAACGGUACCUAAUACCGCAUAACGUCUCACGACCAAAGAGGGGGACCUUCGGGCCUCUUGCCAUCAGAUGUGCCCAGAUGGGAUUAGCUAGUAGGUGGGGUAAUGGCUCACCUAGGCGACGAUCCCUAGCUGGUCUGAGAGGAUGACCAGCCACACUGGAACUGAGACACGGUCCAGACUCCUACGGGAGGCAGCAGUGGGGAAUAUUGCACAAUGGGCGCAAGCCUGAUGCAUCCAUGCCGCGUGUAUGAAGAAGGCCUUCUGGUUGUAAAGUACUUUCAGCGGGGAGGAAGGUGUUGAGGUUAAUAACCUCAUCAAUUGACGUUACCCGCAGAAGAACCACCGGCUAACUCCUUGCCAGCACCCACGGUAAUACUGAGGGUGCAAGCGUUAAUCGGAAUUACUGGGCGUAAAGCGCACUCAAGCGGUCUGUCAAGUCGGAUGUGAAAUCCCCGGGCUCAACCUGGUAACUGCAUUCGAAACUGGCAUGCUAGAGUCAUGUACAGGGGGGUAGAAUUCCAAGUGU
rnacentral:rRNA from 1 species